AUUUGAAGUAGCAUUCAGCCAAAGAAGGAAGAUUGACAUGGUAUUCAUUAAUUAGUGUAUAACAAAUAAAAAAAUACGAGGAAACAAAUGUAAAAUACCCAUAUUUUGCAGUAAUAAGCACAGUAGCAGAUCUAGAAGCUUGUAAGAGUUCUUCAGAGUGAGUACCUAACCACUAUUUUCCAAUCAUUUGGGUAGCAAAUUCGAGUACUGACUCUCUAUGGCCAUAGCUAUCUCCCUUUUGCUGGACUCUCUCCGUCAAUUCCCAAAUUGUUGCCAUUAUCAUCUAAGCAUAUUGUUGUAAAGUUUGAGGAUUAAACAAGCAUGGCCGACCCAAUUGCAGAGUAAUAUUUAAAGUUUCAAAACCAAAUUCUCGCCAUCAGAACUUUCUUUUCGUUGAAAACAAUUGUGCCUCAUAAUACAGUGAGUCAUAGAUACGAGAAUCCGUUGCUCAUGAUGAAAUUAUAUAGUUAUGUACAUGCAAAACCUAUGAUGCUCGGACUCGGAUGUGGGUUUCGGAUACGGGUACAUAUCUAGGAAUCGGAUUCUUUUCAUUUUAAAAAUUAAGAUAUGGGGAUACGAUUUAAAAAUAUCCGUAUUUUGAAUAUCAGUACGGGGAUAUGUCUUAUAAUUUUUUCCUAAAAAAUAAUUCAAUUAAAGCAAAUAACAAAUCAUUCCAUUUACAUUAAAUAAUAAAACCUUUAGGGAUAACCCCUAAUUUAUGGCAUUAUAAAUUGUUAACUUUUAAACCACUUAAUUCUUUCAUUUUUUUUCUUCUUCUUUUUUCUUUUUUAUUGGAAAAAUACACUUAUUGAAGGGCCGUCCAACUAGUUACGGAAAUUCUUUCAUAUCAUUAACUUCUUUAUUGGGCUCCACAGAAGCCCGUUUAAUACACACCCAAAAC
rnacentral:lncRNA from 1 species